GACAGAGGCCUCAAGCGUUAGGCGGAAUCACGUGGCUUAAAGCGUGUGUAGGCGGAUCGUUAAGUGUCUUGUGAAAUCCCACGGCUCACCCGUGGAACUGCUGGGCAUACUGGCGAUCUUGGGCCAACUAGGGGCAACUGGAACAAGCGGUGGAGCGGUGAAAUGCGUAGAUAUCGCUUGGAACGCCAAAGGUGAAAACAGGUUGCUGGGGUUGUGCCGACGCUGAGACACGAAAGCCAGGGGAGCAAACGGG
rnacentral:rRNA from 1 species